rnacentral:rRNA from 1 species
UACGUAGGGGGCAAGCGUUGUCCGGAUUUAUUGGGCGUAAAGAGCGUGUAGGCGGCUAGAUAAGUCCGUUGUGAAAACUGGAGGCUCAACCUCCAGCUGUCGAUGGAAACCAUCUAGCUAGAGUCCGGAAGAGGAGAGUGGAAUUCCUGGUGUAGCGGUGAAAUGCGCAGAUAUCAGGAAGAACACCCGUGGCGAAGGCGGCUCUCUGGGACGUGACUGACGCUGAGACGCGAAAGCGUGGGGAGCGAACAGG